AAUUAGUGCUCGGUUGAAUUGGAUUCAGCCGUGAGUAUCAGCCACAGGAGCCUUGCUAAAGUGUGCAAGGAAAUUUUAUUUCUAAAGCUAAAGCUUAUUUAGUCUUUUCAGAUGCUCUUCUUGGUAUAAGGACAUUCUGGGAUCUGUUUGGUAAUAGCAUUGUGAUGCUUGCUAUUCAACAUGUGCUUUGUUUUAUCAACAUUCAAGUAACAUUUCUUUUCGAAGUGUUGCGAUUAUAAGUUAAAAUAAACAUCGGAGUAUUCUUAUAAUAAAAUCUGAGUUGAAACGCUUGGUUUCUAAAUCUGUCACUAAGAAAGGAAGUAUUCUUUCGCUGCAUUACCAUGGCAGUGUUGUAGACAUGACCCUGUAGUUUACCCAGCCUGAGAAUAUUUUGAUAUAUAACAAGAAACCAUGUUUUAUACCAAAAAAAAGAUAUAAAGAGAGGCUGAAGUUUUUCCUUCGUAAUGUUUAUUUUUAACCUCUGUUUUACUCUAUUAAAAAGACUCGUGUUCAUAGUAGAAAGCGCAGUGACA
rnacentral:lncRNA from 1 species